GGUUGAUGGCGCUGAGGAACGGCUCUGCCUUGUGUAGCCCUGCUGUGGCUGGUUCAGCAUGACAAGAAGCAGCUUUGGCAAACUUCAGCUGCCUGGGAUAAAUUCAACUCCCCGAACUACCCAUGAAGUGAGGUACAGCCUUUGUAUAACCCAGACCGUAAAUGUUAUGUCCUCCCAUUAUGAAUCUCCACUGAAAAAACAUAAAUGCAUAAAAUGCCAACACGAGUUACUGUUUUAUCUCCAAGGCUUCAUCUAAGCUGAAGAAAGGGGGUAGUAACAGCAAAUGACCCUCCUCCACCCUGCCAGCCAUCAGUACCUGCUCCCUGGGAAUUCACUGGAGCUCCACCAGGCCCUGAAACGUGAAACCUUUGACCAAAAAUCUUUCAGACUUGGGUUCGACCACCUGACUAGCCAAGCCCCUCUCUCCUAAGCAUGUGGGGAGGACAGGGAAAUGCAUGAGAUGUGAAGUGAGAUGCUGCUUCACUGAAAGUUAAUCAGGUUGUUUUGAAAAGUUGCCUGACUUUCAGAGUCGGGUAUGUAUGAAUGAUGAGGUAGGGCCUCGCUCAAUAGAAUAUGACAAUUUAUGGGAGGAAGAAUCAGGGUUCACGAGGUUUUGGCUUUAGAGAAGGACUUAAUUCUGUUAAUUUAUCAUGCAGUGCACAAGGUUGGGAGAGGCUGUGAGUACAGAGAAGGGUCAGAUACAGAGUGAUUGCAGGGAAUUUCAUUCAGAAGAAACAGAACAAUGCAGAGUACAAACUCAUGUUCUGAAGGAAUUUUUAAGCUGGAAGUUCCUUGGCUGAAGACUUGAGGAAGAAAGGCUGG